UUAAGCAUAUCAAUAAGCGGAGGAAAAGAAACUAACAAGGAUUCCCCUAGUAACUGCGAGUGAAGCGGGAAAAGCUCAAAUUUAAAAUCUGGCGGUCUUUGGCCGUCCGAGUUGUAGUCUGGAGAAGUGCUUUCCGCGCUGGACCGUGUACAAGUCUCUUGGAACAGAGCGUCAUAGAGGGUGAGAAUCCCGUCUUUGACACGGACUACCAGUGCUUUGUGAUGCGCUCUCAAAGAGUCGAGUUGUUUGGGAAUGCAGCUCAAAAUGGGUGGUAAAUUCCAUCUAAAGCUAAAUAUUGGCGAGAGACCGAUAGCGAACAAGUACCGUGAGGGAAAGAUGAAAAGCACUUUGGAAAGAGAGUUAAACAGUACGUGAAAUUGCUGAAAGGGAAACGCUUGAAGUCAGUCGCGUUGGCCAGGACUCAGCCUUGCUUUUCGCUUGGUGCAUUUUCUGGUUGACGGGCCAGCAUCGAUUUUGACCACUGGAAAAAGGCUAGGGGAAUGUGGCACCUUCGGGUGUGUUAUAGCCCUUAGUCACAUACAGUGGUUGGGAUCGAGGACCGCAGCACGCCUUUAUGGCCGGGGUUCGCCCACGUUCGUGCUUAGGAUGCUGGCGU
rnacentral:rRNA from 1 species